UACGAGGGGUCCAAGCGUUGUUCGGAAUCAUUGGGCGUAAAGCGGGUGUAGGUGGCUCUAUAAGUCAGAAGUGAAAGCCCCGGGCUUAACCCGGGAAGUGCUUUUGAUACUGCAGAGCUUGAAUGUGGGAGAGGGUAGUGGAAUUCCAGGUGUAGCGGUGAAAUGCGUAGAUAUCUGGAGGAACAUCGGUGGCGAAGGCGGCAUCCUGGACCGAUAUUGACGCUGAGGCGCGAAAGCCAGGGGAGCAAACGGG
rnacentral:rRNA from 1 species